rnacentral:rRNA from 1 species
GGGGAUAACAGGCUGAUACCGCCCAAGAGUUCAUAUCGACGGCGGUGUUUGGCACCUCGAUGUCGGCUCAUCACAUCCUGGGGCUGAAGCCGGUCCCAAGGGUAUGGCUGUUCGCCAUUUAAAGUGGUACGCGAGCUGGGUUCAGAACGUCGUGAGACAGUUCGGUCCCUAUCUGCCGUGGGCGUUGGAGAUUUGAGGAGAGUUGUUCCUAGUACGAGAGGACCGGAAUGAACGAACCUCUGGUGUUCGGGUUGUCACGCCAGUGGCAUUGCCCGGUAGCUAUGUUCGGACAGGAUAACCGCUGAAAGCAUCUAAGCGGGAAGCCCCCUCCAAGAUUAGAUCUCCCUGGGACCUUGAGUCCCCUGAAGGGCCGUUCAAGACCAGGACGUUGAUAGGCUGGGUGUGUAAGCGUUGUGAGGCGUUGAGCUAACCAGUACUAAUUGCCCGUGAGGCUUGACCAUAUAACAGA